rnacentral:pre_miRNA from 1 species
CAUGCAACAGUGGGGUCCCUCAGCCUGGCCUGUUACCUCUCGCAAUCUGGAGCCCCUUGGGGGAUGUCAGAGAGCUGGUUUUGGCCAGAUCCCCACAGGCCAGGCUGAGGGACUCCACCAGUGCACA